AUGCAAGUCGAGCGAAUGGAUUGAGAGCUUGCUCUCAAGAAGUUAGCGGCGGACGGGUGAGUAACACGUGGGUAACCUGCCCAUAAGACUGGGAUAACUCCGGGAAACCGGGGCUAAUACCGGAUAACAAUUUUGAACCAGCAUGGUUCGAAAUUGAAAGGCGGCUUCGGCUGUCACUUAUGGAUGGACCCGCGUCGCAUUAGCUAGUUGGUGAGGUAACGGCUCACCAAGGCAACGAUGCCGUAGCCGACCUGAGAGGGUGAUCGGCCACACUUGGGACUUGAGACACGGCCCAGACUCCUACGGGAGGCAGCAGUAGGGAAUCUUCCGCAAUGGACGAAAGUCUGACGGAGCAACGCCGCGUGAGUGAUGAAGGCUUUCGGGUCGUAAAACUCUGUUGUUAGGGAAGAACAAGUGCUAGUUGAAUAAGCUGGCACCUUGACGGUACCUAACCAGAAAGCCACGGCUAACUACGUGCCAGCAGCCGCGGUAAUACGUAGGUGGCAAGCGUUAUCCGGAAUUAUUGGGCGUAAAGCGCGCGCAGGUGGUUUCUUAAGUCUGAUGUGAAAGCCCACGGCUCAACCGUGGAGGGUCAUUGGAAACUGGGAGACUUGAGUGCAGAAGANGAAAGUGGAAUUCCAUGUGUAGCGGUGAAAUGCGUAGAGAUAUGGAGGAACACCAGUGGCGAAGGCGACUUUUCUGGUCUGUAACUGACACUGAGGCCCGAAAGCGUGGGGAGCAAACAGGAUUAGAUACCCUGGUAGUCCACGCCG
rnacentral:rRNA from 1 species